rnacentral:lncRNA from 10 species
CCGAGGGGAGAGAGGGUGCGCAGACGGCCAGCCGGGCCGCGCCAGGGACAUACUGGAGACAGGAAGUGGCUGAGAGGGGGAGAGAGUUGGAGAGAGACGGCCGCGGAGGACACGGGGACGGGAAAGUCUGAGAGACGGGGAGAGCCUGACCCGGCGGGACACAGGCAGAAAGAAACACGCGAGCCAGACAGACGCAGAAGAAACGUGCCUGGUACUGGAUAGGAACUUCAUGGAAUGGAGCUAAUGGGCCGUAGGGCAGGUUUGAGUCGUGCCACCCUGGAGCAGAAGGUGGAGGGUAGGGAUAAGGGUGGAGAGAAACUAGGAGAAAAGCACAGGAUGUAGAGGUCUAUUCGGCAUAAUCUUCUCCCUCAUUUUCAUCUUCACCAUCAACAGAGAGAGCAGCAUACUUGCUUGCAGAACUGAACUUCUGUAACACAACGAGAGUGACAGGAUAAUGAAGGCCCUGAAUUAUCACAUCAAAACCCAAGACACAGGAUACUGAUCCUUUGGCAAUGGGGGAUGACAGUCAGAUGACACCCACUUGCUUGCUCAUCAGCAUUGUCCAUUGGAGAGGAGCUAGGGAAGAGGGUCAGAGGCACAUGCGAUCUUACUAUAGUCUCAUACCACCUCUACACCUUGCAGAAGGGAUGAGAACAAAGGAAGACAGAAACCAGGAAAAAGCUAAACUUCUUUCGCUAUUUCAGUAAAGACCAAUGUCUUAUUUCCAAACACUUUGUAUUCCAAAUGGAAAGAAGUCCAACGGCAAAAAGUUUAGAAUACUAAGAAUUUUUAAUUCUUAGUAAGAAUACUUAGAAUUCUAAGAAUUUUUCUUAGAAUGAAAAAUUGGGAGCAGCCUUCAACACUUACGGAAGCUGGAUUUUCCUCAGGUUUCUUUGGCUCAGGUGCAGAUCUGGAGUCUUGAUCCUUUUUGCCAUCUUUCCUAUCUGACUCCUUCCAGUGGUCUCUGUUCCCUCCGUCGCCUGGACCACGGCUAGAGUUCCCAGUUUGGCCUUUUGGGGCAUUCAUCCCAUCUACUUUAUUUUCAUCUGCUUGGGCAGUAAUGUAAACAAAUUAAAGGCAAGUAAAAGUAUCAAUGUCCCUCUCCUAAGAUUUCCCUUAAGCUGAAGAAAAUUGUGCCCACAUGUACUGAGGGAAACUAACCUCACCCCAACCCAGACUUCCUUCCUGAAGCCCUUCUUUCCACAUCCUCUACAGCACACAAAAAUACAAAAAACAAACAAAAUCCACUAAAAAGUUCCAUGUAGGGAUAUGCCAUCAUGAAAAGCAAGCUGGAAAUAAAGAUUAUGACGCUCUGUAGUG